rnacentral:rRNA from 1 species
UAACACAUGCAAGUCGAGGGGCAGCGGUGGUGAAGGCUUGCCUUUACCAGCCGGCGACCGGCGCACGGGUGAGUAACACGUAUGCAACCUGCCUGCCACAGCCGGAUAAUCGGGAGAAAUUCCGUCUAAUACGGCAUAAUGCAUCGACGGGACAUCCUGUUGGUGCCAAAGGUUGAUUCCGGUGGCGGAUGGGCAUGCGUCGCAUUAGUUAGUUGGCGGUGUAACGGACCACCAAGACGACGAUGCGUAGGGGUUCUGAGAGGAAGGUCCCCCACACUGGUACUGAGACACGGACCAGACUCCUACGGGAGGCAGCAGUGAGGAAUAUUGGUCAAUGGGCGGGAGCCUGAACCAGCCAAGUCGCGUGAGGGAUGACGGCCCUAUGGGUUGUAAACCUCUUUUGCCGGGGAGCAAAGUGCCGCACGUGUGCGGUUUGGAGAGUACCCGGAGAAAAAGCAUCGGCUAACUCCGUGCCAGCAGCCGCGGUAAUACGGAGGAUGCGAGCGUUAUCCGGAUUUAUUGGGUUUAAAGGGUGCGUAGGCGGACGCUUAAGUCAGCGGUAAAAUUGCGGGGCUCAACCUCGUCGAGCCGUUGAAACUGGGUGCCUUGAGUGGGCGAGAAGUACGCGGAAUGCGUGGUGUAGCGGUGAAAUGCAUAGAUAUCACAAAGAACUCCGAUUGCGAAGGCAGCGUACCGGCGCCCAACUGACGCUGAAGCACGAAGGCGUGGGUAUCGAACAGGAUUAGAUACCCUGGUAGUCCACGCAGUAAACGAUGAAUGCUAGUUGUCCGGGGCGAUUGAGUUCUGGGUGACACAGCGAAAGCGUUAAGCAUUCCACCUGGGGAGUACGCCGGCAACGGUGAAACUCAAAGGAAUUGACGGGGGCCCGCACGAGCGGAGGAACAUGUGGUUUAAUUCGAUGAUACGCGAGGAACCUUACCCGGGCUCAUACGCAGGAGGGAUGUUUUUGAAAGGAGGCAGCCAGCAAUGGUCUCCUGCGAGGUGCUGCAUGGUUGUCGUCAGCUCGUGCCGUGAGGUGUCGGCUUAAGUGCCAUAACGAGCGCAACCCCUACCUACAGUUGCCAUCGCGUGAUGGCGGGCACUCUGUGGGGACUGCCUGCGCAAGCAGUGAGGAAGGCGGGGAUGACGUCAAAUCAGCACGGCCCUUACGUCCGGGGCGACACACGUGUUACAAUGGCAGGUACAGCGGGAAGCCACCCGGCGACGGGGCGCGGAACCCGAAAACCUGUCUCAGUUCGGAUUGGAGUCUGCAACCCGACUCCAUGAAGCUGGAUUCGCUAGUAAUCGC